rnacentral:misc_RNA from 1 species
CUUCGACACAUGGACCAUGAAAAUGUCAGUUUCUUUGCUGCUAUUGCUUCUGAGUUCUUAAUGUUAACCAAGUUAUAUUGCUUUCUAGAAGUGUCUUCUGUCUUUUGUUCUGAUAUGGAACAUCAAUUUUUCUAGUUCUAAACUUUAUAUUUUCCUUUUUAAUCCAUGAUUCAUUGGAUUAUUUAAUUGAAGCUUAUAUAUAUAUUGGUACGAGCAAGGUUUUGAAUUAAGGAUGUUACUAGUGCUUGUAGUAAGUUACCAAUUUUUUGUGGGGUUACCUUUUUCUUUUCUUUUAUCUCUCUCUCUCUCUCU